CCUCUCUCUCCUAGAAGGCCAUAAGCACUGAAGCCAUUCCACAUCAGCCGUGCUGAUCCGAAUGUGGUCCCACUAGGAACAACGCAGUUAAGUUUACUUUCUAAAUCCAAUUAAAGCCUAUAUCUCGCCUCACGUCUCCAAGACUUAUUGAUGGUGCAUCAGGCGCACAGUAGCCAGGCUUGAUAGGAGUCUGCUAUGUAAUUGACAAAACAUAAAAAAGACUGAAACUGUGACAAGUACUUUGGCCUUGAGACAUCUGCCACUGCGUGAAUUUUCUCAGCACACUCUCUAAUCCUUGUGCAUCAAAGGUCCACAUCUGAAAAGGUUCUCAGAUGCUACUCAUCGAAUAGAAGGCUUCCAAAAUUGUCUAGUUCUACAGAGCUCCAGACAAGUUCCAUGCUGGAAGUUGCUGCAAUGAAGACAAAAGCAAAUCAACGUUGUUUUGACCAGAAGUAUGCCAAAAUAAAUAUGGAUCAUUCUGGCACUUCCAUGAGCUAUUUUUAAGGAAUAACUGAAAAAAGAAUGGAAGAUAUUGAUACUCUUUUACAACCCUUUGCUCAUUCCCCUGUGAGGUUGCACAUCCCUAGAACGCUUGAUGUUAUAUUCUUUGUGUAGAUGUCCAGCUUUGAGGAAUCAUUUUAGUCUCAUUUAUGCUCCUGCCCCUGAGAAAUUCUGAAAGCCGCUAGAAAAGCAUGUCAAAAGAUGUAUUUUAUCACAGGCUUCUUAUGCGUUAAGGAAAUAAAGAAUGCAUCUUCAAUAAAUCUGGAAGGGACUAACAUUUAUUCAUUUCUAUAAACAGCUAUUAAUUUCCAGAAUUUAUAGUUCAGAUUUGAAGAACGUUUGCAUGACUUGCUUGAGCAUUUCUCCUUUCACUGCACAAACGAAAGUAGUUGAAAUAUAUUCAAAAUAUUUUUAAAUACAUACAUUUAGAAAAUAUAGCAUGGUUCCUACACCUCCAAACAUCAUGCUUAACCAUCCGGAGGGAUGCAAAAAGUUGCUUGUCCUUCCACCUGGGCCAAUGAUAAAGCAGCAACAAAUGGAAAAUGAGAUCUGGGCAAAAUUUCUCAAUAGAAAAAGAGUAAUUUUCCAUUUGAGGUUCAGAUCCCGACUAUGCACUCACUGUCCACAAAAAAAUGCCAGGCCUUUACAAGUAACUACCAAUGUAGAAAAUAUUCUUUCAGAAAUAAUCUGCUGCUUGAUGUCCAUUUGUGUCCGCUUAGGUUACUUCUCAAUAGAGAUAACUUGAAUGUUGCCUUAAAGAAGUUCGGAAUAAGCAAAGUUCUACCUGAGUAACUAUUGCAGGUGUGUUUUGGAGUCACGUUUCCCACAAGUCUCUAGUUGUUACUGUAGGUUGCAGUCUUGUGCUGUAAUUACUUGGACUGAACUUGUUGAAAGAAAAUAAAUUUAUUCUGGAAGUUGUUUGCUUUUCACAAUUUGCCAAUCUGAAAUUGACUUUACACUUAGCACAUAAAGUUAAAUAUAAUUUUAGCAACAAACAAUCUGCUGGAGGAGUUCAGCUGGGAGGAAAGGAAGUCAUAUCAUUUUGGUCAAAAGCACUGCAUCAAGACUGGAAUGGCCAUUUCUUGCUUUAAUUUAUUAUGCUUGCGUGUUUUGUUAUCAACAAACAAUAUUAACUAUCCAACUUUCCAGUGGUAUUUUAGGAGCCAUUCAAUUCAUUCCCUCAAUUCCCCACCCCUCUCCCACUUGCAUUAAUAUUGCACCUUGAAAACUGAAAUAACUUGAAUAUCGAUCUGCAUAAAUACAGUGGAAAAUGGUCUGACUGGUAUCAUCGUCUAGUAUGGAAAGGCCAAUGCACAGUAAUACAAGAACCUAUGACUGUCUUGAACAGCCAGAUCCAUCAUGGAUACAGCUCUAUUCAAUAUCGAUGACUUUCUGCCAGAGACGAUGUUGUAGAAAGGAAACGUCCAUCACUUAAGGACCUCCAUCUACUGAGUUUUGUCCUCUUCUCAUUGUUGCUAUUGAGCAAGAGGUUCAGAAACCUAAAGACCCCAUCUCAAGCUUCAACAACAGCUUCUUCCACACUGCUAUCAGGUUCUGGAAUUGACUAAAAAGCCCUAGCAUAUUUUACUGUAUAAUUUUUAUCUCUCAAAACUUUUGUUACAUUUAUUUUUGUUCAUUUUGUCAUGUAAGUUACUGAAUGUAUAACUUAUGUUAAUUUAUGUUUGGCUCGUUUGCAAUGUACUAAGUUGCUACUGUAGAAAGCUAAUUACCAUGGCAUUCAUACUUUGGAUAUACACGCUCUUGACAAUAACCAUGGUCUUGAACAUGAAAAGAAUCUCUGAAA